CCCAAGACUCAACUAGGUGAACCACAAAAUUGCAACGAAGUUAUGUCCUUCCUAUGGAUACGAGUAAGGAACUCUUUGAAAUGGGCUGAAGGAGAGAAACUCGGGUUCUGUGUAUGCCUUGGCUACCCAAGCUCAAGUUUCUGGCAGGAAAUCAUAUCAAAAUUCAGUCAGGUCUUGCUCACCAUGGCUAUGGCUGAGAAGGUUGCGGCUACAAAAGACGUUCCAGUAAUAUUGAAAAUUGUGGAUUAUAAUGAAAUGAGCAUAACAAUUUUGAGUAGUCUAGAACCAUUUUGUAUUUUAUCUUUAGAGUACCUUGCAAGUUGUCAUGAUUAAAGAUCAUCCCUCCACAAAAGGUAAAGGUCACAACGAUUGGUUGUAAUGACUUUAUUGUUGUUUACAUAUACGAAAUUCAAUUGUCUAUUCACUCUUCUCUUGUUGAUCUUGCUUGUAAAAUAGAACACUUAAAUUAGAACAAUUCAAGA